rnacentral:rRNA from 1 species
UACGGGGGGGGCAAGCGUUGUUCGGAAUCACUGGGCGUAAAGGGUGCGUAGGCGGGUCUUUAAGUCAGUGGUGAAAUCCUGGAGCUCAACUCCAGAACUGCCUUUGAUACUGAAGAUCUUGAGUUCGGGAGAGGUGAGUGGAACUGCGAGUGUAGAGGUGAAAUUCGUAGAUAUUCGCAAGAACACCAGUGGCGAAGGCGGCUCACUGGCCCGUAACUGACGCUCAUGCACGACAGCGUGGGGAUCAAACAGG